AUUGAACGCUGGCGGCAGGCCUAACACAUGCAAGUCGAACGGUAACAGGUCUUCGGAUGCUGACGAGUCGCGAACGGGUGAGUAAUACAUCGGAACGUGCCUAGUAGUGGGGGAUAACUACUCGAAAGAGUGGCUACUACCGCAUGAGAUCUACGGAUGAAAGCAGGGGAGCGCAAGGACUUGCGCUACUAACACGGCCGAUGGCAGAUGAGGGCGGUGGUGGGAUAAAAGCUUACCAAGCCGACGGUCUGUAGCUGGUCUGAGAGGACGAUCAGCCACACUGGGACUGAGACACGGCCCAGACUCCUACGGGAGGCAGCAGUGGGGAAUUUUGGACAAUGGGCGCAAGCCUGAUCCAGCAAUGCCGCGUGCAGGAUGAAGGCCUUCGGGUUGUAAACUGCUUUUGUACGGAACGAAAAGCCCUGGGUUAAUACCCUGGGGUCAUGACGGUACCGUAAGAAUAAGCACCGGCUAACUACGUGCCAGCCGCCGCCGUAAGAC
rnacentral:rRNA from 1 species